rnacentral:lncRNA from 1 species
CUGAACACUCGCACCUACAAGUUACCAUCUCCCAUCAUAUUUGAGCGAAUCAUUGGCAAGAACCACACAAUCUCCAGCGCAGGGAUUUUACUCAGAAGGAACUGUUGUCACCACCCAGCCACUGCAAUAAUCCAGGAGAGAAAUCAUGUGAGCUUGAGAAGGAAUCAGAUUCUGCAUAUAUUUCCAAGUUAACAUGAACAAGAUUUUCUGAAAGACUGCUAUGGAGUCUGAGAAAAAAUGUCAAAGGUAGUGCCAAAAUUGUCACUUAAAGAACUGCAGGAAUGGAGUUGGCAUUUACAGAAUUUGGAAGAGAAGCAGGUUUAGUGAUAAAGACCAGAAGCACAGAGCUAAGCAUAUUAAAUCACAUAUGCACAUGAACACUGGAUAUGCGAAUGCACAGAUUGAGGACAUGAAGAGGAAAGAACUGACAGAGGAGGUGAAGAAAGGUGAUCAGGAAGAGCCAUCAAAGUGUUAUCCUGGAAUUCAAGUGAAGACAGUGUUUCAAAGGUGGAAAUGAACAGUGUCCUGUAACCCUCAGAGUGAGACUAGAGUCAGAAUGCAGGCUUUUCUCAUUUGAAAUCUGCAAGGUAAGUCCAGGUCCUUACCUCCACCUAAAAGUUCUGCCAUCAAGGAACAUCUGCUCAUUAUCUUCUGUUCACACAUCAAAUGACUUCAAUGUGAUCCCUGGAUGUUCUCCAAAGAGCUGAAGGGAAAUAAAUAUUCUUUCUUUAUCACCAAAUACUUCAACUGCAGAGUGAUUGUGCUACCAAGGCCUGAAACUUCGGAAAAACCUGCAUAACACAAAAUAUAAAGAUAUGCCACAGAGAGGAUCCAGAGAGCCCAUCUCCGGUCAGUUAUCUGUAUUUGUAUGUCAACUACAGCAUCAAAAAGCAUAGGCAUGGAUACUAAGGACCCCCUCUGUACACCAACGCCAGUCCAAAGGACAGUGUGUCACUGUGAACUGGAAAUUCAUCUCUCUUCUUCAAUUUUUUUCUACCUACUUUAUGCUUUAUCUCUAAGUUGAGGCUGUUUAUGGCCUCAUCCUCAAUUACCUUGUCCCUCAUUACUCCCAGUUAAUGGAGAUUAAGCUUUGUAUCAUGACUUCCUAACUAAAAUUGAAAUCACAAGACAUCACAUAAAUAAAGUUACAAAUGGAUUAGAU